GACGAAGGGGGCUAGCGUUGUUCGGAAUUACUGGGCGUAAAGGGCGCGUAGGCGGUUGGAUAAGUCAGCUGUGAAAACCACGGGCUUAACUCGUGGCCUGCAGUUGAGACUGUCUGGCUUGAGUGUGGGAGAGGAGAGUGGAAUUCCUGGUGUAGCGGUGAAAUGCGUAGAUAUCAGGAGGAACACCGGUGGCGAAGGCGGCUCUCUGGACCACAACUGACGCUGAGGCGCGAAAGCUAGGGGAGCAAACAGG
rnacentral:rRNA from 1 species